rnacentral:rRNA from 1 species
AUACGUAGGGGGCGAGCGUUAUCCGAAUUCACUGGGCGUAAAGCGCAUGCAGGCGGCCGCACAAGUUGGAUGUGAAAUCUCCCGGCUCAACUGGGAGGGGACGUUCAAAACUGUGCGGCUCGAGGGCGGUAGAGGAAGGUAGAAUUCCCGGUGUAGUGGUGAAAUGCGUAGAUAUCGGGAGGAAUACCCGUGGCGAAGGCGACCUUCUGGACCGUUUCUGACGCUCAGAUGCGAAAGCUAGGGGAGCGAACGGGAUUAGAAACCCCGGUAGUCCUAGCCGUAAACGAUGUCGACUGGGCGUGGGUGGGAUAAAAGCUAUCCGUGCCGAAGCUAACGCGUGAAGUCGACCGCCUGGGGACUACGGCCGCAAGGUUAAA